CCCGCGGCCUGCACCGGCGCACACGAACGCACCUUCCUGGCCGUGAAGCCGGACGGCGUGCAGCGGCGGCUGGUGGGCGAGAUUGUGCGGCGCUUCGAGAGGAAGGGCUUCAAGUUGGUGGCGCUGAAGCUGGUGCAGGUGGGGGCGCGGCCUCCGAGGAGCUGCUGCGUGAGCACUACGCCGAGCUGCGUGAACGCCCGUUCUACGGCCGCCUUGUCAAGUAUAUGGCCUCCGGGCCGGUGGUGGCCAUGGUAUGGCAGGGGCUGGACGUGGUGCGCACCUCGCGGGCGCUCAUCGGAGCCACGAACCCGGCCGACGCCCCGCCCGGCACCAUCCGCGGGGAUUUCUGCAUCGAGGUUGGCAAGAACCUGAUUCACGGCAGCGACUCGGUGGAGAGUGCCCGCCGCGAGAUCGCUCUCUGGUUCCGCGCAGACGAGCUCCUCUGCUGGGAGGACAGCGCUGGGCACUGGCUGUAUGAGUAGCCCGGCAGAUGCGCGUCACAGAGGCUCUCACACUCCAGCCUCCUCCAGGGCCCAGGUGGGCGGGCUUCUGGCCCCACCCCACAGCGCUUGGAGCAUCCCUUUGGACGGGCUGCUGAACAUCCACCUGUCUGGACGUUGCAUGGAGGGUGGCGCAGGCCUCUCCAAUCCCUGGCGUACAGGGUUUCCUGCCCGAGGAGCUGCUCCAGGAGCCUGCGCGGCUCGCCUGGAAACGUGCCAGGACACUGUCCUGGUGCCCAGCCCAACGUGGUCCAACGUUUUUUUAUAAUAAAGUCCUCGUUUUCGUUUCGAUUUGGGCCCAGGAACAGGCA
rnacentral:lncRNA from 1 species